rnacentral:tRNA from 1 species
GCGCCACUAGCUCAACGGAUAGAGCAUCUGACUACGGAUCAGAAGGUUGGGGGUUCGAGUCCCUCCGGGCGCG